AGGAAGGAGACGUAAGGGAAUAAAUGUGCAACUCAAAGCUUCAAUAUCUGUCUUAUCAUGGUAAGAAAGAUGCAAUAAAACAAUGGGCUGCGGGUCAUAAAGACAUGUAUCGACGAACAUUUAUUUAUAGAAAGCAAACUGUUCCAUAUCUGUAGGCUUAACGGCACGAGCAUAAGCCUCUUCAAUGUCGCUUUGAAGGAUGACGCCACGACUCUUUCGCACAGCUAAAAGACCUGCAUCUUGCAUGAUGGCAGCAAUUUGAGCACCACUAGAUGCAUCUGGUCGCAUAAUAAAUGUAUCCAAGUCAACCUCGGGAGAAAGCAACAUUUUAGCUGUGAUGGUUUGGAAAACAAGUCGACGUUGGCGACGAUCGCGGUAGGAAGGAAAUUCAAUUUUUCGAUCUAAACGGCCAGGACGAAGAAGAGCAGGAUCUAGAGUGUCGGCACGAUUAGUAGCCAUGAUUACUUUAACAUUAGCACCUUGAUCAAAACCAUCCAUCUGGGUUAAAAGUUCAAUCAAAAUACGUUGGACUUCACGAUCAGCACCGGUUUGGGCAUCAAAACGCUUUGUAGCAAUAGCAUCAAUUUCAUCAAUAAAAAUAAUAGCAGGAGCAUUUUCACGUGCCAUUCUAAAUACAUCUCGAACCAUACGUGGACCCUCACCAAGGUAUUUUUGAACAAAUUCAGAUCCAACAACACGAAUAAAGUUGGCAGCUGUUGAGUUGGCCACAGCUUUUACAAGCAUUGUUUUACCGGUACCUGGAGGACCGUAAAGUAAAACGCCUCUAGGAGGAUCAAUACCAAUCUGACGAUAAAGAUCGCCUUGUGUUAGAGGUAAUUCAACGGCUUCACGAACUUCUUGCUUUUGAACAUCUAAACCACCAACAUCAGCAUAAGAAACAUCAGGUCUUUCAUCUGGACGAAGCAUAGAAAUAGAUGAAUCUGCUUCUGGUGGUAAAAUGUCGACUAAAGCGUUUGAGUGUCGUUGAAGAGCGACACUUGCUGAAGGUUUUAAAAGCUCUCGAUCAAGUGUACUUAAAAUACGAACGACAUAAUUAGAUCCAGUUGUACUUCCUACAAUAGCAGUAUUUUGAUCAAUG